CGCUGUCAUCUGAAGAAGUGCGCACAAACCUGGACGAACAGACGACAAAAAUCAACCGUCUUACUGAGAGACACGAGGCAGGCUAACCACUCUGCCACAGUAAGACAGGGAGGACAUGCACACUCCAGUCAGAGAGUUCGGAGCAAGAAAUACGGUACCUCAUCCAGUUUGCUUUGGUCUCAUCACUUCCAUCAAUCGACUGAUAUGUGUUGUUUGCAUCAAGGAUCUGUGAAAACAUGAAAAAUAUGGCACUUACAAUCCAAGAGAAGAAGCCAGAUGACCUGUCUUUAGUCACCAGCUCUCCCUCGUAGGGCCCAAACACUGCCCCUAGAGGAAACCCGAGGCCAGUGCAGCGG